GGCGGCAGGCCUAGCACAUGCAAGUCGAGCGGUAGAGAGAAGCUUGCUUCUCUUGAGAGCGGCGGACGGGUGAGUAAUGCCUAGGAAUCUGCCUGGUAGUGGGGGAUAACGUUCGGAAACGGACGCUAAUACCGCAUACGUCCUACGGGAGAAAGCAGGGGACCUUCGGGCCUUGCGCUAUCAGAUGAGCCUAGGUCGGAUUAGCUAGUUGGUGAGGUAAUGGCUCACCAAGGCGACGAUCCGUAACUGGUCUGAGAGGAUGAUCAGUCACACUGGAACUGAGACACGGUCCAGACUCCUACGGGAGGCAGCAGUGGGGAAUAUUGGACAAUGGGCGAAAGCCUGAUCCAGCCAUGCCGCGUGUGUGAAGAAGGUCUUCGGAUUGUAAAGCACUUUAAGUUGGGAGGAAGGGUUGUAGAUUAAUACUCUGCAAUUUUGACGUUACCGACAGAAUAAGCACCGGCUAACUCUGUGCCAGCAGCCGCGGUAAUACAGAGGGUGCAAGCGUUAAUCGGAAUUACUGGGCGUAAAGCGCGCGUAGGUGGUUUGUUAAGUUGGAUGUGAAAUCCCCGGGCUCAACCUGGGAACUGCAUUCAAAACUGACUGACUAGAGUAUGGUAGAGGGUGGUGGAAUUUCCUGUGUAGCGGUGAAAUGCGUAGAUAUAGGAGGGAACACCAGUGGCGAAGGCGACCACCUGGACUAAUACUGACACUGAGGUGCGAAAGCGU
rnacentral:rRNA from 1 species